AAGCACUUUCAUACGAAAUGGACGUUGCUCGUUUGUGAUUGUCUGCAUCCUGCAUCACUUUGUAUCCCACGUGUGCUUUAAUAAACUAGCUUGUUUGCUACUAUUUUGGGACAAGGCUCAUCCGACAGAUGGAGACAUUCUUUGAGAAAACUACCAUGCCUGGUGUAAACAGUAAAAGAGCAAUCUCCAUGGACAAGAAUAGACUGGAGCCGUCCCAUUGACAUGAAUAGGAAAGGUUUGUGGGCAUACUCUGUGACCUUUGAAGAGGCCAUACCACAGGAGUCUGAGCCAAUUUUGGAGUGCUG